rnacentral:Y_RNA from 1 species
GGUUGGUCUGAGUGCAGUGAUAUUUACAACUAAUUGAUCACAACCAAUUACAGAUUCCUUUGUUCCUUCUCCACUCCCACUGCUUCACUUGACCAGCCUUAA